rnacentral:sRNA from 1 species
GAACGAACGGUUCGACAAGCAGUUUCGU